AACUUUCAACAACGGAUCUCUUGGUUCUGGCAUCAAUGAAGAACGCAGCAAAAUGCGAUAAGUAAUGUGAAUUGCAGAAUUCAGUGAAUCAUCGAAUCUUUGAACGCACAUUGCGCCCGCCAGUAUUCUGGCGGGCAUGCCUGUUCGAGCGUCAUUU
rnacentral:rRNA from 1 species